UAAGACGAACCGAGCGAACGUUGUUCGGAAUCACUGGGCUUAAAGGGCGCGUAGGCGGGCCGCCGCGUCCGGGGUGAAAUCCUCCCGCUCAACGGGAGAACGGCCUCGGAUACGGGCGAUCUCGAGGGGGGUAGGGGCACGCGGAACUGUGAGUGGAGCGGUGAAAUGCGUUGAUAUUCACAGGAACUCCGGUGGCGAAGGCGGCGUGCUGGACCCCCACUGACGCUGAGGCGCGAAAGCCAGGGGAGCAAACGGGAUUAGAUACCCCGGUAGUCCUGGCCCUAAACGAUGGGGACUAGGUAGUAGGCCGGACAUGGGCUUACUGCCGGAGCUAAAGUGCUAAGUCCCCCGCCUGGGGAGUAUGGUCGCAAGGCUG
rnacentral:rRNA from 1 species